GCCCGGCUGGCGCAAUGGUAGCGCGUAAGACUUCUAAUCUUAAGGUUGUGGGUUCGACCCCCACGUCGGGUG